rnacentral:rRNA from 1 species
UAAGGAAUAUUGGUCAAUGGACGCAAGUCUGAACCAGCCAUGCCGCGUGAAGGAUGAAGGUCCUCUGGAUUGUAAACUUCUUUUAUCUGGGACGAAAACGGGAUUUUUAUCUCAAUUGACGGUACCAGAGGAAUAAGCACCGGCUAACUCCGUGCCAGCAGCCGCGGUAAUACGGAGGGUGCGAGCGUUAUCCGGAUUUACUGGGUUUAAAGGGUGCGUAGGUGGGCUUAUAAGUCAGUGGUGAAAUCUCCGAGCUUAACUUGGAAACUGCCGUUGAUACUAUAGGUCUUGAAUUAUCUGGAAGUAAGCGGAAUAUGUCAUGUAGCGGUGAAAUGCUUAGAUAUGACGUAGAACACCAAUUGCGAAGGCAGCUUACUACAUAUAAAUUGACGCUGAGGCACGAAAGCGUGGGGAUCAA